CGCGGGACACAGAGCUAGGGAGAUGGGACAGUGCCGGGAACAUAAGACACAAGGCUGGGGACACAGGACAGAAGGCACAGGACACAGAGUUGGGAAUACGGGACAAUGCUGGAGACACAGAACACAGUCUAGGACAUGGGGUUGGGGAUACCGGAUACAAGGCUGGGGACACAGAGGACAAGGAGAUGGACCCAGUCUCAGGGACAUGGGACACAGGCUGGGGGUAUAGGACAGGGCUGGGCAGAUGGGACAGAGUCCUGGGACGUGAGACAUGAGACAUAGGCUGGGGACACAGGACGCAAGGUUAAGGAUACAGGACAAGGACACAGGCUGAGGACAUGUGGCACAGUCCCAGGGACGUGAAUGCAUCAGGGCUGUGGGGCACAGGAGGGGGCAGUGCUGGGGACACCCGAUGCAGGGCUGGGGGCAGUGGAGGGACCAGUGGGGGUUCAUCACCUCAACCAGCCCCACCUGGGGGCUCAACCCCUCCCUGCCUGGCCCGGGGACUGCAUUUAGGCUUCAUGCUUAGGCUGGGAUUUUGCUGAGUCUGCGCUGGGCCUGGCAUCGUGCACACCUCAUUCUAGUGCUCGGUGUCGGGUCGUUCCAGCCCUGCACAGCCCCACGGAGGGGGCUGCGGUCCCGCAGGGCUGCACUUGGCUCUGGAGCAGCGUGACGGAGACCCUCGGAGUGGAGACCAGCAGCUGUGUCCAGACCAGGUGCUGCCUCCGCACAAUGCUCGGGGACCGGAGGUGACGCCGGGACAUCCUGCCCAUGGCACAGGGCUCGUUCCCAACGGGCACUUAAGGUCACGGCUCGCCUUUCUGCAGCUCACCGCCCGAAACAGACCUGGGGGCAGCUGCCCACGUGUCCUGCCGGCUGCCCAGGGGACACAGCCUGGCCACCCACAGGUUUGCAGCCUCCCCGCAGCAGCGAUUUACAGGGCAGAACCUCUCGUGACGGGAGGAGGUGGAAAUGAGCUGCGCCAGCUGGAUUUGUGGGAGCGGGAAGUGUCUGGCUACAAGGGCAGCUGACUUCCAGAGGGAAUCUAGAGCACAGGGACUGAUCUAGUCACCCAAAUCUGCUGGAGCCUCUGGCUUUCGGGCUUUGGGGAAGAGCUGCAGUUCCCCAUCAGCGCCGGAACCCAGUUUGGAAUCACAAACCGGAAAAAGGGGAGGUUUGGAAUCUUGGUAGCCAUGAAACUGGACUUGGAGUGAAAAUCCAGUUGGCUCCAGCGGGAAUUUCUGCUGCAGCAUCGAUGUCCAUCUGUGCUGGGACACGACGCUGGACUGUGUCAUCCAGGGAUAGAAGGGGAAGUUGUGAACAGCUAGGGACUCUGGGGGGAUGGCUGGGAAGCAUGGCGAGUCCCGAGGCUCCAGUGGAACGAGUGGAGAAGGUUCAGCUCUGCUCUGGGUCCUCUGGGAGGGAAUCCGAGCAGGAGCAGCCUUCGGGGGAAGGGGCAGAGGGUGGCACCGGGUCCGUGGAGCCUUUCCCGGCCCAGGGUCCGCGUGGAUCCGGGAUGCGGGCCGGGACCCCCGCGGAGCGCGGGGUCACAUCG